GCAAGUCGAGCGAACAGAGAAGGAGCUUGCUCCUUUGACGUUAGCGGCGGACGGGUGAGUAACACGUGGGCAACCUACCUUAUAGUUUGGGAUAACUCCGGGAAACCGGGGCUAAUACCGAAUAAUCUGUUUCACCUCAUGGUGAAAUAUUGAAAGACGGUUUCGGCUGUCGCUAUAGGAUGGGCCCGCGGCGCAUUAGCUAGUUGGUGAGGUAACGGCUCACCAAGGCGACGAUGCGUAGCCGACCUGAGAGGGUGAUCGGCCACACUGGGACUGAGACACGGCCCAGACUCCUACGGGAGGCAGCAGUAGGGAAUCUUCCACAAUGGGCGAAAGCCUGAUGGAGCAACGCCGCGUGAGUGAAGAAGGAUUUCGGUUCGUAAAACUCUGUUGUAAGGGAAGAACAAGUACAGUAGUAACUGGCUGUACCUUGACGGUACCUUAUUAGAAAGCCACGGCUAACUACGUGCCAGCAGCCGCGGUAAUACGUAGGUGGCAAGCGUUGUCCGGAAUUAUUGGGCGUAAAGCGCGCGCAGGUGGUUUCUUAAGUCUGAUGUGAAAGCCCACGGCUCAACCGUGGAGGGUCAUUGGAAACUGGGAGACUUGAGUGCAGAAGAGGAUAGUGGAAUUCCAAGUGUAGCGGUGAAAUGCGUAGAGAUUUGGAGGAACACCAGUGGCGAAGGCGACUAUCUGGUCUGUAACUGACACUGAGGCGCGAAAGCGUG
rnacentral:rRNA from 1 species